rnacentral:lncRNA from 1 species
CCUGAAGCAGGGGUGAGCAGGCAGGGAAAAUCCUACCAGGAGCGAGGUAGGGAGGGACUCUUUGAGGAUGUGAUUUUCAAGCGGGAGAAUGAAGUGCAGGUGAGUCAGGUGAAUAUGGGGUGAGGGCAGAGGGUAGGUUGUUUGAAACUGAGGGAAAGCCGGUGCAAAAGCCCUAAGAAAGCCCACCACCAUGUCAUGAGGACACUCAAGCAGUCCUGUGGAGGGAUCCACCUGGGAAGGAAAUAAAGCCUCCUGCCAAUGGCCAGCACCACGUUCCAGCUGUGUGAGCGAGUCACCUUGGAAGCAGGUCCUCCAACCCACAGAGCCUUUGGAUGACUGCAGCCCCAACCAACAGGUCAGAAGACUGCAACCCAAUGAGAGUCCUGGGCCAGGACCACCAAGCCUCUCCCAAAUUCCUGACCCACUAAUAUUGUGAGAGAACAUGGUGUUUUAUUUUAUUAUGUUUAUUAUUGUUUAUUAUUAUUGUAGGCCACCAAAGUUUGAGGUAUUUGUUAGGUGAAAAUAAAUAUCUGAUACCAUCUCCUUCUUUUGAACUCAUUGGCCUUUUCAAUAAAUGUUUGUUU